GCAGGGCAUGGUGGUGCAUGCCUGUAGUCCCAGCUACUUGGGAGGCUGAGGUGGGAGGAUUGCUUGAGGCCAGGAGGCCGAGGCUGUAGUGAGCUGUGACUGCCACUACUCUCUAGCCUGGACGACAGAGCGAGACCCUGUCUCAA
rfam:Pan troglodytes isolate Yerkes chimp pedigree #C0471 (Clint) chromosome 5, whole genome shotgun sequence.